AAACAGGCUUUUAUUGGCACUUGCAAGGAUGAUAUGGUGCAGUUCAAAGCCACAAAUAGUUUAUAGAGAAUUCUGG
rfam:Loxodonta africana unplaced genomic scaffold scaffold_3, whole genome shotgun sequence.